rnacentral:rRNA from 1 species
CCCUUAGAUGUUCUGGGCUGCACGCGCGCUACACUGAAGCUAUCAACACGUUUUCCCUCCCUGAGAAGGGCGGGUAACCUUUUGAAUCAGCUUCGUGGUAGGGAUCGGGGCUUGCAAUUGUUCCCCGUGAACCAGGAAUUCCUAGUAGACGCGAGUCAUAAGCUCGCAUCGAUUAAGUCCCUGCCCUUUGUACACACCGCCCGUCGCUACUACCGAUUGAACGUUUUAGUGAGGCAUUUGGACCGACGCAUCUCAGGUUAACCGCUGGUUUGUGUUGGAAAGACUUCCAAACUUGAGCGUUUAGAGGAAGUAAAAGUCGUAACA